CGGAGAUGUCACGCAGGUGCAUUGUAGUCGCAUUGUCUGUCCCACUUGCUCCAGGCAAUACAACUGCAGUGCAAGCUCUGUGCAUUUCAC
rnacentral:pre_miRNA from 1 species